UGGGGGAUAUUGCACAAUGGGGGAAACCCUGAUGCAGCGACGCCGCGUGAGUGAAGAAGUAUUUCGGUAUGUAAAGCUCUAUCGGCAGGGAAGAAAAAAAUGACAGUACCUGACUAAGAAGCCCCGGCUAACUACGUGCCAGCAGCCGCGGUAAUACGUAGGGGGCAAGCGUUAUCCGGAUUUACUGGGUGUAAAGGGAGCGUAGGCGGCCAUGCAAGUCAGAAGUGAAAACCCGGGGCUCAACCCUGGGAGUGCUUUUGAAACUGUGCGGCUAGAGUGUCGGAGGGGUAAGUGGAAUUCCUA
rnacentral:rRNA from 1 species